rnacentral:tRNA from 1 species
CGGGAUAGCUCAUUUGGUAGAGCAGAGGACUGAAAAUCCUC